AAAUUGAAGAGUUUGAUCAUGUCUCAGAUUGAACGCUGGCGGCAGGCCUAACACAUGCAAGUCGAAUGGUAACAGGAAGAAGCUUGCUGCUUUGCUGACGAGUGGCGGAUGGGGGAGUAAUGGCUGGGAAAUUGGCUGAUUGACGGGGUGAACUA
rnacentral:rRNA from 1 species